GAGCACCCUGGCUUAGCUGUGACCUCCAGACCAGCUCCCGGAAACACCAAGGCCAGGUCCCACAGGCUGCGGCAGCCUGCCCUUCUCUGCAGUGCCAGAUCAGACCUAUUUAAGAUGAUGUCUUUGAUCACAGACAUGAAGCACUUGCGAUCUUAGCCUUUGAUGAAAUGGAGCUCCACUGUAAUUUUAUGGAAGAGAAACAGAAGCCUAAAUGAUGACUGACACUCACCAAAGAGAUCCAAACUUACUAAGAGUUUUCCCUAUUUUUGUCAGCAGGUACCUUUACACACUAGAAUGUACCAGAAGUUGAAGAGUCUAGGUAUUGUUUUAAUAUGUAACACUUAGAACACUAUUUCAAUCACUUACCUAUUAGCUAAUUGUCCAAAGAAUAAACCAUGCAGGUGAGAAGAUGAAUUUUAAAACGUCUUUCUUACAUAAUUUCACUGCUAUGGUUUAUAAAACUCCUGAUAAUUAAAUUCUAAAUUGAAAGAGAUUUUACCACUAAAAACCACCUAAACAACACAUUCAGUACAUGCAAAAUUAGCACAUUAAACAUCAAGAAAAAAAUUACAUGCCUCUAGGUUUUUAUUAAUCACAUUCCAACACCAGAGACUGAGACUGUGUCAAAUCAUACUGAAUCUUUUGCACAUGACUACCUCAUAAAUUAUUCAACUCAUUAGUGUUACUAAAAAGCAGGAAAAAUUUCAUCGCUGCACAGGCUAUUUUCCAGUUGAAAAAGGUCAGCUACAAGUUUUAAUAAUAAAAUCAUGGAGCAAACUUUCAAAAAUCAUUAUGAAAUAAAACUAUUAUCUUUUGUUUCCUUAAAA